rnacentral:rRNA from 1 species
UCAAAUGAAUUGACGGGGCCCGCACAAGCGGAGGAACAUGUGGUUUAAUUCGAUGAUACGCGAGGAACCUUACCUGGGCUUAAAUGGGGAGUGACAGCUGUCGAAAGAUGGUUUUCUUCGGACACUCUUCAAGGUGCUGCAUGGUUGUCGUCAGCUCGUGCCGUGAGGUGUCGGGUUAAGUCCCAUAACGAGCGCAACCCUUACCGUUAGUUACCAUCAGGUUAAGCUGGGGACUCUAGCGGGACUGCCACCGUAAGGUGAGAGGAAGGUGGGGAUGACGUCAAAUCAGCACGGCCCUUAUGUCCAGGGCUACACACGUGUUACAAUGGCCAGUACAAAGGGCAGCUACCGGGUGACCGGAUGCUAAUCUCUAAAGCUGGUCUCAGUUCGGAUCGAAGUCUGCAACCCGACUUCGUGAAGCCGGAUUCGCUAGUAAUCGCGCAUCAGCCAUGGCGCGGUGAAUACGUUCCCGGGCCUU